rnacentral:rRNA from 1 species
UUNCUCCGGCAUACCGCUNCAGUAACACGUGGAUAACCUGCCCUGUGCUGGGGGAUAACCUCGCGAAAGUGAGAACAAUACCCCAUGGGUCACUAUGCCUGGAACGGUUAGUGGCUGAAAGCUCCGGCGGCACAGGAUGGGUCUGCGGCGUAUCAGGUCGUAGGGGGUGUAACGUACCUCCUAGCCUUCGACGCGUACGGGUUGUGAGAGCAAUUGCCCGGAGAUGGAUUCUGAGACACGAAUCCAGGCCCUACGGGGCGCAGCAGGCGCGAAAACUUGACAAUGCGAGAAAUCGUGAUCAGGGGACUCCAGUUGGCUGGAUCAAAAGUCCAGUCUGAACCGACUUUAAAUCGGUCGGGUAAUAGGGGCGGGAAAGACCGGUGCCAGCCGCCGCGGUAAUACCGGCGCCCC